rnacentral:rRNA from 1 species
GAUGAACUGUGGGUAGCGGAGAAAUUCCAAUCGAACCCGGAGAUAGCUGGUUCUCUCCGAAAUAGCUUUAGGGCUAGCCUUGAAAUAGAUUACCGGAGGUAAAGCACUGAAUUGGCUAGGGGCCGAGAGGUUACUGAACCUUAUCAAACUAAGAAUGCCGGAUAAUCGUUUUUCAGGAGUCAGACAGUGGGAGAUAAGUUUCAUUGUCAAAAGGGAAACAGCCCAGACCCACAGCUAAGGUCCCCAAGUAUAGUUAAGUGGAAAAGGAUGUGGAAUUGCACAGACAACCAGGAUGUUGGCUUAGAAGCAGCCACUCAUUAAAAGAGUGCGUAAUAGCUCACUGGUCGAGUGACUCUGCGCCGAAAAUUUAACGGGGCUAAACUAUACACCGAAGCUUGGGAUACAUCUAAUGUAUGGUAGGAGAGCGUUCUGUAUGGGGAGAAGUCGUAGCGAAAGCGGCGGUGGACUAUACAGAAGUGAGAAUGCCGGAAUAAGUAGCGAGAAUUAAGUGAGAAUCUUAAUGGCCGAAAGUCUAAGGUUUUUGGAGGAAGGUUCGUCCGCUCCAAGUAAGUCGGGAGCUAAGGUCAGGCCGAAAGGCGUAGCCGAUGCACAUACGGUUGAUAUUCCGUAACCAUCUGUAAUUUAAGCAAAGGGACACUUCAAAAGGGUGUGACCCGGGCGUUGGUUGACCCGGGCGUAAGGGACCGAAAUUAGAGUAGGGAAGCACACUUGGCUGAAGGCGAGAAAAGCUUUGCGUAUAGAAACAGAUGCCCGUACCGCAAACCGACACAGGUGGACAGGAAGAGAAUUCUAAGGCCAGCGGGAGAAGGGUAGUUAAGGAACUCGGCAAAUUGACUCCGUAACUUCGGAAUAAGGAGUGCUCGAAAGAGCCGCAGAGAAUAGGCCCAGGCGACUGUUUAGCAAAAACACAGGUCUCUGCCAAAUCGAAAGAUGAAGUAUAGGGGCUGACACCUGCCCGGUGCCGGAAGGUUAAGAGGAGGAGUGAGAGCUCCGAAUUGAAGCCCCGGUAAACGGCGGCCGUAACUAUAACGGUCCUAAGGUAGCGAAAUUCCUUGUCGGGUAAGUUCCGACCCGCACGAAUGGUGUAACGAUCUGGGCACUGUCUCAACUACCCACCCGGCGAAAUUGUAGUACCGGUGAAGAUGCCGGUUACCUGCGGCAAGACGGAAAGACCCCAUGGAGCUUUACUGUAGCCUGAUAUUGGGUUUCGGAAAUCUAUGUACAGGAUAGGCGGGAGACUGGGAAACAUGAGCGUCAGCUUGUGUGGAGUCGAUGUUGGGAUACCGCCCUUAGGUUUCUGGAAUUCUAACCUGCGGCCGUGAAUCCGGUCGGGGGACAUUGUCAGGUGGGCAGUUUGACUGGGGCGGUCGCCUCCGAAAAGGUAACGGAGGCGCUCAAAGGUUAGCUCAGCACGGACGGAAACCGUGCCUCUGAGUGUAAACGCAAAAGCUAGCCUAACUGCGAGGGUGACGGCCCGAGCAGUAACGAAAGUUGGAGUUAGUGAUCCGGCGGUAUGUGAAUGGAAAUGCCGUCGCUCAACGGAUAAAAGCUACCCUGGGGAUAACAGGCUGAUCU